rnacentral:misc_RNA from 1 species
UAAAUAAAUAUGACCUCAACCUUUUACCCCCCGUGGCUUUUGAUCUGGUUCUUUCACAUCAAUGAAAAUGUAAAAAUACUUCCCCUUGCUUGGAAGUUUAAAUCAGGUCAGAUAUCAUCGCCAAUCUAGAUUCCACCGUUUCCAAAUCCGGAUCAACCUACCUAUCUGGCGUUCAAGAUGCGAUUAUUGGCGAUUUGAUGUGAUCUCCUGUGUUUCUUGAAAAAUUCUCAUUAUCUUCUUAAGCUUCACUUACUACAACUCUCCUCUGUUCCGCGAGGAUAGAUUUAUUUUUCUUUUUUACUCUUCAGUAGUUUAUGCCGGGAAAAUGGCAACUUAUUCGCAUUUUUGAACCAUCACCAAAGGACGCGUUGUUUUUGUUUGAAGUUCUCACAGAUUGAUUCGUUAUGUGUGCAUUUCUUUUUCGAAAAAAUAUUUGUAAUUUUUGCUUCUUAAAUCAUUUUAUAUUCGUCUAUUUCUGUUUGGUUCAAAAUCAAGUCUCAGCGGACGAUAGAAGACCCAUAUAUAUUGUGGCUCACAUGGUGAAUUCAAUUUAUGAAAUGGAGGAGCAUUUAGCGAGGGGUGCAAAUGCAAUUGAAGCAGAUCUUACCUUUUUUUCGAAUGGAUCGGUAAAGCAAAUUUAUCAUGGAUACCCUUGUGAUUGCUAUAGAGUAUGUGAUGAAAAAGAAAACUUUGCGAAGUACUUAAAUCAUAUUCGGGACUUAGUAAAUCCAGAUCAUUCGGAUCGUAAGAGAAGUUUAACAUUUUUAUUUUUAGAUUUGAAGCUUGGUGAUGUAGUAAGAUCGGAAAAAUAUAAGACAGGAGAAGAAAUAGCAAAAUAUUUAAUCACUCAUCUCUGGAGUAACGAUUUAACAGAACCGCAUAUCCACGUAUUACUGUCAAUACCUCAUGUUUCAGAUGCCGAAACUAUAAGAGGUGUUAGAGAUACAUUCACCAAUUCAAAACGCGAAUCAACGAUGCAAAAGUUAGGAUUCGAUGUUGGAUUAAACGAUGAUUUAAACAAUAUUCGACGCAUGUGGGUCAAAUUAGGAGUUACUGAAAAUCGUUGGCAAGGUGAUGGUAUUACUAACUGCUUAAGAGCAUUUCGUGAUGAUAACAGACUUCGACAUGCAAUUCGAAUAAGAGAUUCAGGAACAGCGUUUAUUGAUAAAGUUUACGACUGGACAUUAGAUACUACUGCUCAAAUUCGAAGAUCGUUAAGAGCUGGAGUAGAUGCUAUUUUAACUAACUUCCCAGAACGAGUUGUGUCAGUGCUCCAAGAAAAGGAAUUCAAAGAUAAGUAUCGAUUAGCAUCAACUGAUGACAACCCUUUUUCACGAGUUUUAACAACACCUUUCAAAAGUAUUGCACCACCAGACAAUAUGAAUACGUACGUGUCAUCUUUACGAGAAAUGACCAUAGCUCUCAUGGGAUAUGCAUGGGAUUUUUAUAAGCUUCGAUUACAGCGGCCAGUAACUUUAUUUCCGUUGCUCCAAGAAAUACUUAGCCGUGCCAUGCCUGUGUUAAGGUCAUACACUAGAGCUCUAAGGAAAAUGUCUCGUAAAUCUCUAAAGCAAUAAAACUGGAAAAAGUUCAUUGUCCUGGUGCGUGCAUAUUUUACCGAUUUAUUUAAAAAAGUGUGUUUAAUAGUUUCAUUGUAAAUUAAUUUAUUAUAUUUAUUAGCUAGACUUAUAACCAAUAAGAACUUUGUUGAUGCUGGUCAUCAAAUUAUCAACUUUUUAUUUAUUCAUUGCUGUUUGCAAAGAUCUAACUGAUGUUACGUGAAAAAUUUAAACUGUGUUAUUUUUGUAAUAUAUUUCUGAAGAUAGCGACAGUAAAUACUAUAAAAUCUAUGACUUAGUGCAGUUGAUUUAUUUCAUCUACACUUUAAGAAUAAAUGCAAGGAGACAGGGAAAGAACGGAAACAUCCAAGAUGAUUGGAAAACUAUUUUUUCUCAUCUUUAUGUGUGGUAUAGGAUUGUCCAGCCAAGAUGCUAACUCAUACAUGGAUGCAGUCAUUAAAGACAAUUUGCAUACAGCCGUGUUCAAAGCUGGUCUUGACCCGGCUUCUAUAUCCGAUUUCGAAACUAAAUUUGGAGUUCAAGACAUAUAUGGAAAUGUAGGAGAAGCAAUAUUUAGUCGUGGUAAUCUCACUAGAUUAGACAGAGCAAGGCGAAGAGGUGAUUGCACAGGGCCAACAAAAUCUGGACAAACAAUGUUAAUCAACUGCACCAUUGGUUUAACCCAGUUAAUUACUGAAUAUAAAGUCAUUAUAAGGAACGGAAGCCAUAUUUAUUUACCCCGAAACAUGGGACAUGUUUCUGAAACUGUUGUUUCUUUGGAAAUUGCGGGACUACAUCCCUUAUACCGUGGAUCCCUAAAGAAAUUGAAAGUCGAUAAGGUUGGACAAAUCACUCCAACUUUUUCUGGACUGCCAGCUCCUCUCAACAAAUACUUAAAAGUCCUGCAAGAUGCUUAUCGAACACAUGUAUCGGCUCAAAUACAUAAUAUUCUUCAAAACAAUUAUGCUUUGGCCUUAGAUGCAGCAUUUAGGAAUGUGUCCAUGUCUGCACAUCAGUAAAAUUAAAUUCUGUAAAGAAAGAACAUAUUAUUGAUACAAACGAAUAAAUAUUUAAAAAUUAUACUAAA